rnacentral:rRNA from 1 species
GACGAACGCUGGCGGCGUGCUUAACACAUGCAAGUCGAACGGAAAGGCCCUGCUUUUGUGGGGUGCUCGAGUGGCGAACGGGUGAGUAACACGUGAGUAACCUGCCCUUGACUUUGGGAUAACUUCAGGAAACUGGGGCUAAUACCGGAUAGGAGCUCCUGCUGCAUGGUGGGGGUUGGAAAGUUUCGGCGGUUGGGGAUGGACUCGCGGCUUAUCAGCUUGUCGGUGGGGUAGUGGCUUACCAAGGCUUUGACGGGUAGCCGGCCUGAGAGGGUGACCGGCCACAUUGGGACUGAGAUACGGCCCAGACUCCUACGGGAGGCAGCAGUGGGGAAUAUUGCACAAUGGGCGGAAGCCUGAUGCAGCAACGCCGCGUGCGGGAUGACGGCCUUCGGGUUGUAAACCGCUUUCGCCUGUGACGAAGCGUGAGUGACGGUAAUGGGUAAAGAAGCACCGGCUAACUACG